GUAAUCCACAGCAUCUUCCAUUUAAAUGACCCCUCAUUUGGGCAAUCGAAUUGAAUAGUAAUCAUUUUAGACUUAUUAGGGAUACAGCAUCUCUUAUCCAAGCAUAUUCCACAAAAAGUGGGUUUGUAACUCUGAGUACUUGAGCAUCCAGAAAAGACAAAUUUUUCAGCUUUGGAGAGUUGGAAAAUAGUUGCUGUUUUCAUUGGUCACCCUAUUAGAUAUUCCCAUCCCACAUGUUCUGGAGCAGGGAGUCCACUUUGUUGCUUGCACGAGACAUUUUCUUUUCCAAAUAAGUGGGAGAUUCCUAUAAGCUAAAACGGAGAAAAGUACAUAUGUAUACAUAUAAAUGUACUUGUAUAAAUAGAUAAUUUUUAACCAUGUUUAAGCUAAUGUUUAAGAAAUCUGAAUAUUUUUGUAUAAUAUAACUCAGAAUAAAAGAAGCUGAUGGUCUAAUUUAUCAUUCUAUCUCCCUCUUUCCCAACCCCAGAAUUAACUUUCAAUCAAGUAUUACAGUCCAACCUCUUAGGAGGAAUAAAAAUACUUUAUCUUUGAAAAA